rnacentral:rRNA from 1 species
GAUGAACGCUGGCGGCGUGCUUGAUACAUGCAAGUCGAACGCAUCGGCAAAGCCAAGGUGUCCUGGCGGAACCGGAGGGCGAGAAAUCGUUCAAAGGGGACAAAGGGGCAAAGAGGCGGAGCUGGUGAGUGGCGGACGGGUGAGUAACACGUAGGUGAUCUGCCUCAAAGUGGGGGAUAACUGUUCGAAAGGGCAGCUAAUACCGCAUGUGGUCCUUGGGAGACCGAGGAAGAAAGGCGAGAGUCGCUUUGAGAUGAGCCUGCGGCCGAUUAGCUAGUUGGUGAGGUAAGGGCUCACCAAGGCGAAGAUCGGUAGCUGGUCUGAGAGGAUGAUCAGCCACACUGGGAUUGAGAACGGCCCAGACUCCUACGGGAGGCAGCAGUAAGGAAUAUUGCACAAUGGGGGGAACCCGUGAUGCAGCAACGCCGCGUGGGUGAAGAAGGCUUCGAGUUGUAAACCUUUACUGUGGGAUCGAGGAAGGACAGUACCACAGGAAC